CUAAAUACAUUUUGUUUUUCCUAUUGCAACAUCCGAUUAACUGCAAUUCAACUAUUGAUAUAAUAAUUCCAUUUUGCUUUCCUAAUGCAAUAUCUAAUCCAGCAUUCAAAAUUGCUACCAUGAGAAGGCCACCACCUUUCAACAAGCUAGAAAGUUGCAUCACAAACUGGAGAUACAAACUGAAAUUCCCAUCAUUCUUAACCAUCUAAAACAUAAUCACAACAAUCCUGGAACCCACAUGCAAGCAUUAGCAAUCCAUAUCUAGCAAAUAUAAGAAUGGGACAUGAUUUAUCACAUUAGAACUUCUUAUUCAACAUUUUCACAGCACGAGGAUUCAGAGGUAGAUAACCAGAAGAUACAAGUUGCUAGAUCCUGAUACAAUUAAACCUUCCCAAACAAGAAAAAGAACUAUAACUUGGAAUAUUACAUCGCUUUAAUAUCUUCAGAACAGAACAGUAGUAUAAUCAUAACUCUCGGACAAAAGUCGCAUCUCUCUCAAUAAGAGUGACAUUUACAUAAUAAUAUCUGCAGAUUUUUUUAGUAAAAAGGCUAUAUUACGAAGGAUAUAAGCUUGAAGCUGAAGGAGCUAAACCAAGUCUAACGUGGCAUAUCUAUCAAUGGUAACGGGCAGAUCAAACCAUUGAUAGUUUUGAUACGAGGAACCAAACACAGCUAGAGCCAUUUGGUUCCUUUACUCAUUGUCUUAGUUUCUCUAUGAGGCAUUUAAUGCAGAGAAGAGGAACAUAAUCUACCCUCCUUAGCCAUCCACAUACUAUACUUACUGAGUCUCCAGUUAUAGUACGUAACAUUGUCUAGUUCCUAUUAAGGAACUUAAUGGGAACAUUUCACGUGGAAGUAGACACAGAGGUACCAAAGCCACUGUGACUGUGGUUCUCUUUGUUGUGAAUAGGCUGCUGCAGUACAGAGCAACCAGUGUCUUCUUGUUCAUCACGUGCAAAUAUCUCUUUCAGCAAUUGGGAGUCUUUCUGCAAAAAGAAUCACAGUAAAGCAAGCUUAAGUUAUGAGAGUGCUUCCCCUUCUUCACAUGAACAAAAUUAAGAACUUUUCACCAAGCAUGCUAUUUCUUACCUCGGAAAAUGAAUAUUCUCCUACAUCAAUAUCCACCAAGGGACUCAGAUGUCCUUCAGAGAUUAACACGUCUGUGUCUUUAUGUUGACUUUGCACUUCUUGAAAUGUAGUAUCUUGAAUAUGAGAAGCCAUCAUGGUACUCCAAUAAUUUCCAGGAAUUGAAUUAUCAGUAUUCUCAUAUUGAUUUUGAUUCUCAAAAUAAGAAGGUACUCCAUUGAGGUAAGAAGGUACUCCAUUGAGGUGACAACA
rnacentral:misc_RNA from 1 species